rnacentral:rRNA from 1 species
GUAAACGGCGGCCGUAACUAUAACGGUCCUAAGGUAGCGAAAUUCCUUGUCGGGUAAGUUCCGACCUGCACGAAUGGCGUAACGAUCUCCACACUGUCUCGGCCAGAGACUCGGUGAAAUUGAAGUCGCGGUGAAAAUGCCGUGUACCCGCAGAAAGACGGAAAGACCCUGUGCACCUUUACUAUAGCUUGACAUUGGGAUUUGAGCCUGCAUGUGUAGCAUAGGUGGGAGGCUGUGAACUCUGUACGCCAGUAUGGAGGGAGCCAUCGUUGAAAUACCACCCUUGUUUGUUCAGGUCCCUAACUCUUCGCCGUGAUCCGGUAAGAGGACAGUGUCUGGUGGGUAGUUUGACUGGGGCGGUCGCCUCCCAAAAUGUAACGGAGGCAUGCAAAGGUUCCCUCAGGCUGAUUGGAAACCAGCCGUCGAGUGCAAACGCAAAAGGGAGCUUGACUGCAAGAGAGACAUCUCGAGCAGGUACGAAAGUAGGUGUUAGUGAUCCGGUGAUCCCGAAUGGAAGGGUCAUCGCUCAUUGGAUAAAAGGUACGCCGGGGAUAACAGGCUGAUCGCAUCCAAGAGUUCACAUCGACGAUGCGGUUUGGCACCUCGAUGUCGGCUCAUCACAUCCUGGGGCUGAAGCAGGUCCCAAGGGUACGGCUGUUCGCCGUUUAAAGUGGUACGCGAGCUGGGUUUAAAACGUCGUGAGACAGUUUGGUCCCUAUCUUCUGUGGGCGUAGGAGAAUUGAAAGGGCCUGUCCCUAGUACGAGAGGACCGGGAUGGACACACCACUGGUGGACCUGUUGUCGUGCCAACGGCACAGCAGGGUAGCUAUGUGUGGAAGGGAUAACCGCUGAAAGCAUCUAAGCGGGAAGCCUGCCUUAAGAUAAGUUCUCCCUGACGCAAGUCCUGAAGGGCCGAGGUAGACGACCUCGUUGAUAGGCUGGAGGUGGAAGCCCUGUGAGGGGUGGAGCUGACCAGUACUAAUAGCCCGUGCGUCUUGUUUCU